GUGUCAGCCGCCGCGGUAAUACAGAGGGUGCGAGCGUUAAUCGGAUUUACUGGGCGUAAAGCGUGCGUAGGCGGCUUUUUAAGUCGGAUGUGAAAUCCCCGAGCUUAACUUGGGAAUUGCAUUCGAUACUGGGAAGCUAGAGUAUGGGAGAGGAUGGUAGAAUUCCAGGUGUAGCGGUGAAAUGCGUAGAGAUCUGGAGGAAUACCGAUGGCGAAGGCAGCCAUCUGGCCUAAUACUGACGCUGAGGUACGAAAGCAUGGGGAGCAAACAGGAUUAGAUACCCUGGUAGUCCAUGCCGUAAACGAUGUCUACUAGCCGUUGGGGCCUUUGAGGCUUUAGUGGCGCAGCUAACGCGAUAAGUAGACCGCCUGGGGAGUACGGUCGCAAGACUAAAACUCAAAUGAAUUGACGGGGGCCCGCACAAGCGGUGGAGCAUGUGGUUUAAUUCGAUGCAACGCGAAGAACCUUACCUGGCCUUGACAUACUAGAAACUUUCCAGAGAUGGAUUGGUGCCUUCGGGAAUCUAGAUACAGGUGCUGCAUGGCUGUCGUCAGCUCGUGCCGUGAGAUGUUGGGUUAAGUCCCGCAACGAGCGCAACCCUUUUCCUUACUUGCCAGCAUUUCGGAUGGGAACUUUAAGGAUACUGCCAGUGACAAACUGGAGGAAGGCGGGGACGACGUCAAGUCAUCAUGGCCCUUACAGCCAGGGCUACACACGUGCUACAAUGGUCGGUACAAAGGGUUGCUACACAGCGAUGUGAUGCUAAUCUCAAAAAGCCGAUCGUAGUCCGGAUUGGAGUCUGCAACUCGACUCCAUGAAGUCGGAAUCGCUAGUAAUCGCGGAUCAGAAUGCCGCGGUGAAUACGUUCCCGGGCCUUGCACACACCGCCCGUC
rnacentral:rRNA from 1 species